UACGGGGGGAGCAAGCGUUGUUCGGAAUUACUGGGCGUAAAGGGCGCGUAGGCGGCCUGCUAAGUCGGACGUGAAAUCCCUCGGCUCAACCGAGGAACUGCGUCCGAUACUGGUGGGCUUGAAUCCGGGAGAGGGAUGUGGAAUUCCAGGUGUAGCGGUGAAAUGCGUAGAUAUCCGGAGGAACACCGAUGGCGAAGGCAGCUGCCUGGCCUAGAACUGACGCUGAGGUGCGAAAGCGUGGGGAGCGAACGGG
rnacentral:rRNA from 1 species